CACGAACCGUACGAACGUUAUUCGGAAUUACUGGGCUUAAAGGGUUUGUAGGCGGCCUUGUAAGUCAGGUGUGAAAGCCCUCGGCUCAACCGAGGAACAGCGCUUGAUACUGCAAGGCUUGAGGGAGACAGGGGUAAGCGGAACUGAUGGUGGAGCGGUGAAAUGCGUUGAUAUCAUCAGGAACACCGGUGGCGAAAGCGGCUUACUGGGUCUCUUCUGACGCUGAGGAACGAAAGCGUGGGGAGCGAACAGG
rnacentral:rRNA from 1 species